UAGGCUAAGAUAGAGGGGCUAAAAAUGUAGCACCUCAGACAAGCUAAAACUGUACUUUCUUCUCAUCCAUCUGCUGAUGCCUAAGGUUAAGAAAAUCAGAAAGCAAGAAAGCAAGAAGUUAAAAAGAAAGAAAGAGGAGAAAGAAGUAGAGAAUACGGAGAUAACGUAAGAAAGAAUGACCUUGAAAAACAAUAGUAUUUAAUCUGGAAAACUCAUGUGAAGGCUUCCAUUUGAAUGAAAUAAUGGAUUGAAGAUUUGCUGGAUACAAUAAGAUGAAUAACGGAAAGUUCAGCUCUGGAUUAUAGACUUGUGGAGGCUCCAAACAGUUAAAG